rnacentral:rRNA from 1 species
UGGGGAAUAUUGCACAAUGGAGGGAACACUGAUGCAGCAACGCCGCGUGCGGGAUGACGGCCUUCGGGUUGUAAACCGCUUUCAGCCAUGACGAAGCUUUUGUGACGGUAGUGGUAGAAGAAGCACCGGCUAACUACGUGCCAGCAGCCGCGGUGAUACGUAGGGUGCGAGCGUUGUCCGGAAUUAUUGGGCGUAAAGAGCUUGUAGGCGGUUUGUCGCGUCGAUAGUGUAAACACGCAGCUUAACUGUGUGCCUGCUGUCGAUACGGGCUGACUAGAGGAGGGUAGGGGAGAAUGGAAUUCCCGGUGGAGCGGUGGAAUGCGCAGAUAUCGGGAGGAACACCAGUGGCGAAGGCGGUUCUCUGGACCUUUCCUGACGCUGAGAAGCGAAAGCGUGGGUAGCAAACAGG